rnacentral:rRNA from 1 species
UAAGCGAGCAGUGAAAGACUCCGGCUCAACCGGAGGUACAUUGUUCGAACUACUAAGCUAGAACAUAGUAGAGGUACCUGGAAUUCCAAGUGUAGGAGUGAAAUCCGUAGAUAUUUGGAGGAACACCGAUGGCGUAGGCAGGGUACUGGGCUAUUGUUGACACUAAGGCACGAAAGCGGUGGGGAGCGGAACGGGAUUAGAUACCCCGGUAGUCCCACGCCGUAAACUAUGCUUGCUA